UCCUUUGGGUCAUGAUCCAAAGCCCAGUGAAUUAAGUAGGAAUUUUUCUACUGACUUCAUUGAGAUUUGGAUCAGGUCCUUGAUGA
rnacentral:pre_miRNA from 1 species